rnacentral:rRNA from 1 species
CGUAGGUGGCAAGCGUUGUCCGGAUUUAUUGGGUUUAAAGGGUGCGUAGGCGGCCCUGUAAGUCAGUGCUGAAAUAUUCCAGCUUAACUGGGAGGGUGGCAUUGAUACUGCGGGGCUAGAGUACAGAUGAGGUAGGCGGAAUUGACGGUGUAGCGGUGAAAUGCUUAGAUAUCGUCAAGAACACCUAUAGCGAAGGCAGCUUACUAGGCUGUAACUGACGCUGAGGCACGAAAGUGUGGGGAUCAAACAGGAUUAGAUACCCUGGUAGUCCACACUGUAAACGUUGAUUACUCGCUGUGUGCGAUAUACAGUACGCGGCCAAGCGAAAGCGCUAAGUAAUCCACCUGGGGAGUACGCCGGCAACGGUG